rnacentral:rRNA from 1 species
ACUCCUACGGGAGGCAGCAGUGAGGAAUAUUGGUCAAUGGACGGAAGUCUGAACCAGCCAUGUCGCGUGAAGGAAGACUGCCCUAUGGGUUGUAAACUUCUUUUAUAUGGGAAGAAUGUUAUCUACGAGUAGAUAUUUGCCAGUACCAUAUGAAUAAGCAUCGGCUAACUCCGUGCCAGCAGCCGCGGUAAUA